rnacentral:rRNA from 1 species
AUUGAACGCUGGCGGCAUGCCUAACACAUGCAAGUCGAACGGCAGCACAAUAAAGAUUUCGGUCUUUAUGGGUGGCGAGUGGCGGACGGGUGAGUAACGCGUAGGAAUCUGUCCUGGAGAGUGGGAUAACCCGAGGAAACUCGGGCUAAUACUGCAUAACAUUGAGAGAUCAAAAGCAGGGGACCGAAAGGCCUUGCGCCCUGGGGUGAGCCUACGUCGGAUUAGCUAGUUGGUGGGGUAAAGGCCUACCAAGGCGACGAUCCGUAGCUGGUCUGAGAGGAUGACCAGCCACACUGGGACUGAGACACGGCCCAGACUCCUACGGGAGGCAGCAGUGGGGAAUCUUGGACAGUGGGGGAAACCCUGAUCCAGCGAUGCCGCGUGUGUGAAGAAGGCCUUCGGGUUGUAAAGCACUUUAGGUGGGGAAGAAAGGUAGCGAGUGAAUAACUUUCUGCUGUGACGGUACCCACAGAAUAAGCACCGGCUAACUCUGUGCCAGCAGCCGCCGUAA